rnacentral:tRNA from 1 species
GGGCGCAUAGCUCAGUGGUAGAGUGCUUCCUCGACACGGAAGAGGCCGGAGGUUCAAUCCCUCCUGCGCCCA